UACCAGCUCUCCGAGUGGUAGGGAUGAUUAUUGGGCUUAAAGCGUCCGUAGCCGGCUUAGCAAGUCUCCUGUUAAAUUCAGCGACCUAAUCGUUGACCCGCGGGAGAUACUACUAGGCUAGGAGGCGGGAGAGGUCAACGGUACUUCCGGGGUAGGGGUGAAAUCCUAUAAUCCCGGGAGGACCACCAGUGGCGAAGGCUGUUGACUAGAACGCGCUCGACGGUGAGGGACAAAAGCUGGGGGAGCGAACCGGAUUAGAUACCCGGGUAGUCCCAGCUGUAAACGAUGCGAGCUAGGUGUUGGGGUGGCUACGUGCCACUUCAGUGCCGCAGGGAAGCCAUUAAGCUCGCCGCCUGGGGAGUACGGCCGCAAGGCUGAAACUUAAAGGAAUUGGCGGGGAGCACCACAAGGCGUGAAGCUUGCGGUUC
rnacentral:rRNA from 1 species